rnacentral:rRNA from 1 species
CCCAUCCCGAACAGGACCGUGAAACAACUUUGCGCCGAUGAUAGUGCUGCAACCAGUGUGAAAGUAGGUUAUCGUCAGGC